rnacentral:rRNA from 1 species
UACGUAGGGGGCAAGCGUUGUCCGGAUUUAUUGGGCGUAAAGAGCGUGUAGGCGGCCUGGUAGGUCAGCUGUGAAAACUCGAGGCUCAACCUCGAGACGUCGGUUGAAACCACCUGGCUAGAGUCCGGAAGAGGAGAGUGGAAUUCCUGGUGUAGCGGUGAAAUGCGUAGAGAUCAGGAGGAACACCCAUGGCGAAGGCAGCUCUCUGGUCGACCUCUGACGCUGAGACGCGAAAAGCGUGGGGAGCGAACGGG